UCUAUACAAUGUCUUGCACCGCCCCUGCAUACUACUGUGACCCAGGAGGAACCGGGGGAGGGCAAUGAAAAACGGGAGUCUCCCAGGUGUGUGGUACCAUUCAUGAGAUGUCUGGAUUGAGCAAUUUUCUCCUGACCUUCUGCAUUUUAGGAUACCUUUUCUGCAGUUCCAACACUUGGUAUGUAAAGAUGCCAAGCAACAUCAAAGGAUUGCUGGGUUCCUGCCUUGUCAUCCCUUGUAGUUUUGGCUACUAUCAGUAUCCACCUCAAAAUCCAGAACGUGUGGUUUGGUACCAGUAUGUGAGAAGUUGAUAUCCAUUAGUACAUGACGACUGGUAUCCGGACUAUGUCAUUUCCAUUUUUAAAGGAAAAACACGUGUAUUGACUUCCACAGACAGCAUGACAUGCAGUCUUCAAAUCUCCCCAGUGAGCUGGUCUCACCACAGACUGAAGAUUUACCCCUGGGUAGAUCCAGAGAAUGUUGGGACAAGCACCUACCGAUUCUUUGAUACAACUGUAAUAAUGUAGUGGGAACAGCAGAGAAACCGGAUAUUACGACCUUUGGAAACAUGAUUGUUGGACAGUGCGUGACAGUGCUAUGCACUGUUUUUCAUACCUGUCCCACUACAGCACCCACUCUGAGUCUUAACAUCCCACUGCAAGACGACAAAAUAACUCAUACCCGGAACAUAGAUGGCACAUCCAACACAUCCUUGACGACCACAUUAUGCAUUGAGAACGAACACCAAAAUGUUGAGUGCUCUGUCAAACACAGUGGUGGUCUCAGUGCAACAGCCUCUAAAACCUUAACUGCAGAAUGCACCAUUUCAUCCUUGACUAUCCAGUCUACAUCAGAUGAGUUUCUUGAGGGACAGGCACAAGAAGUAACCUGCACUGCCUUGUACACAUGCCCAAAACAUUUACCAACUCUCACAUGGAACUAUGGUAGCAUGCAAGCUAUCACUGAAUCUGGCAAGAUUGGACAUGCUCAGUGGAGGACUGUCUCUACACUGACAUUCAAAGCAACAGCCAAUGAUCAUGGAAAACCUCUGACAUGCUUUGCACUAUUCACCGGGGCUCACAGGCAGAAAGUGAACAUUACCAUAGGGGUAAAGAGUCCUUAGAAAUAAUGAGAUUCUUUAUUUAACAACUUAACCUUUUUGUCUUAAAGCCUGUAUAGCUUUUCACAGACAUUACCAACACAUUCUGCAACAUAACUGAAAUGUAUUUUGAUAAAAUGUAAUUUACUCGUCACAUUUAGCCAAUUCUGUUAGUGCUGCAGUUUCUUCUUUAAGUUUGUCUUUUUCUAUGUUCUUUAAAUGAACAAAUAAAAUGAAAAAUAUAAUAAUAA